rnacentral:rRNA from 1 species
AUCUGGUUGAUCCUGCCAGUAGUCAUAUGCUUGUCUCAAAGACUAAGCCAUGCAUGUCUAAGUAUAAACAAUUAUACAGUGAAACUGCGAACGGCUCAUUAAAUCAGUUAUCGUUUAUUUGAUAGUUUUCUACAUGGAUAACCGUGAUAACUUCAGAACUAAUACAUGACAGCCUUCUGGCGUAUAUAUUAGAUACAAACCAACAGUAUGGUGAUUCAUAAUAUCUUGUCGAACCGAUCUUCGGUGUAUCAUUCAAAUUUCUGCCCUAUCAACUGUCGAUGGUAGGAUCGUGGCCUACCUAUAACGGGUAACGGGGAAUCAGGGUUCUAUUCCGGAGAGGGGCCUGAGAAACGGCUACCACAUCCAAGGAAGGCAGGCGCGCAAAUUACCCAAUCCUGACACAGGGAGGUAGUGACAAUAUAUAACGAUCCGGGGCUCUUUGAGUUUCGGUGGAAUUGAAAUACAAUUUAAACACCUUAACGAGGAACAAUUGGAGGGCAAGUCUGGUGCCAGCAGCCAAUUCCAGCUCCAAUAGCGUAUAUUAAUGUUGUUGCAGUUAAAAGCUCGUAGUUGAAAUUGGGCGGGCUAUUAGUUUAGGCCUUGGAAGAACUUCUUCCAGUUACUUUGAAAAAUUAGAGUGUUCAACGCAGGUUUCGCCUGAAUAUAUUAGCAUGGAAUAACAUAACACGACGAGGGUCCAUUUUGUUGGCUUGCAAACCCACGUAAUGAGGGACAGUCGGGGCGUCAGUAUUGUGUUGUCAGAGGUGAAAUUCUUGGAUUUACACAAGACUAACUACUGCGAAGGCAUUCGCCAAGGAUGUAUUCAUUAAUCAAGAACGAAAGUUAGGGGAUCAAAGAUGAUCAGAUACCGUCGUAGUCUUAACCGUAAACUAUGCCGACUGAGAAUGGGUACCGCUUAUACGGUAUCCGCGCUCUACAAUCAAAGUGAUCAGGUUCUGGGGAGUAUGGUCGCAAGGCUGAAACUUAAAGGAAUUGACGGAAGGGCACCACCAGGGUGGAGCCUGCGGCUUGACUCAACACGGGAAACUCACCAGGUCCAGACACAAUAAGGAUUGACAGAUUGAUAGCUCUUUCUUGAUUUUGUGGUGGUGGUGCAUGGCCGUUCUUAGUUGGUGGAGUGAUUUGUCUGCUUAAUUGCGAUAACGAACGAGACCUUGACCUACUAAAUAGCUCUACUUGCGAUUGCAGGUAGCUAGCUUCUUAGAGGGACUAUCUAUUACAAGUAGAUGGAAGUUCGAGGCAAUAACAGGUCUGUGAUGCCCUUAGACGUUCUGGGCCGCACGCGCGCUACACUGACGGAGCCAGCGAGUCGACCAAGCCCGAGAGGGCUAGGUAAUCUUGUGAAACUCCGUCGUGCUGGAUAGAGCAUUGCAAUUAUUGCUCUUCAACGAGGAAUUCCUAGUAAGCGCAAGUCAUCAGCUUGCGUUGAUUACGUCCCUGCCCUUUGUACACCCCGCCCGUCGCUACUACCGAUUGAAUGGUUUAGUGAGACCUUGGGAGGGCGAGAUGAGGGGCAACCCCUUCUGAACAUCCAAACUUGGUCAAACUUGAUUAUUUAGAGGAAGUAAAAGUCGUAACAAGGUUUCCGUAGGUGAACCUGCGGAAGGAUCAUUA